rnacentral:rRNA from 1 species
GACGAACGCUGGCGGCGUGCUUAACACAUGCAAGUCGAACGGAAAGGCCCUGCUUUUGUGGGGUGCUCGAGUGGCGAACGGGUGAGUAACACGUGAGUAACCUGCCCUUGACUUUGGGAUAACUUCAGGAAACUGGGGCUAAUACCGGAUAGGAGCUCCUGCUGCAUGGUGGGGGUUGGAAAGUUUCGGCGGUUGGGGAUGGACUCGCGGCUUAUCAGCUUGUUGGUGGGGUAGUGGCUUACCAAGGCUUUGACGGGUAGCCGGCCUGAGAGGGUGACCGGCCACAUUGGGACGGAGAUACGGCCCAGCCCCCUACGGGAGGCAGGGGGGGGGAAUAUUGCCAAAGGGGCGGAAGCCUGAUGCAGCAACGCCGCGGGGGGGAGGACGGCCUUCGGGUUGUAAACCGCUUUCGCCUGUGACGAAGCGUGAGGGACGGGAAUGGGUAAAGAAGCACCGGCUAACUACGU